AGCGAACGCUGGCGGCAGGCCUAAUACAUGCAAGUCGAACGGUUCCUUCGGGAACAGUGGCGGACGGGUGAGUAACACGUGGGAACGUGCCCUUUGGUACGGAACAACUGAGGGAAACUUCAGCUAAUACCGUAUGUGCCCUUCGGGGGAAAGAUUUAUCGCCAUUGGAGCGGCCCGCGUUGGAUUAGGUAGUUGGUGAGGUAAAGGCUCACCAAGCCUACGAUCCAUAGCUGGUCUGAGAGGAUGAUCAGCCACACUGGGACUGAGACACGGCCCAGACUCCUACGGGAGGCAGCAGUAGGGAAUCUUGCGCAAUGGGCGAAAGCCUGACGCAGCCAUGCCGCGUGAAUGAUGAAGGUCUUAGGAUUGUAAAAUUCUUUCACCGGGGACGAUAAUGACGGUACCCGGAGAAGAAGCCCCGGCUAACUUCGUG
rnacentral:rRNA from 1 species